UACGAAGGGGGCUAGCGUUGCUCGGAAUCAUUGGGCGUAAAGCGCGCGUAGGUGGCCAUGUAAGUCCGCUGUGAAAGUCAAAGGCUCAACCUUUGAAAGCCGGUGGAUACUGCAUGGCUAGAGUACGGAAGAGGCGAGUGGAAUUCCUGGUGUAGCGGUGGAAUGCGCAGAUAUCAGGAGGAACACCAAUAGCGAAGGCAGCUCGCUGGGACGUUACUGACACUGAGGCGCGAAAGCGUGGGGAGCGAACAGG
rnacentral:rRNA from 1 species